GCAUUAGCUAGUUGGUAAGGUAACGGCUUACCAAGGCGAUGAUGCAUAGCCGAGUUGAGAGACUGAUCGGCCACAAUGGAACUGAGACACGGUCCAUACUCCUACGGGAGGCAGCAGUAGGGAAUCUUCCACAAUGGGCGCAAGCCUGAUGGAGCAACACCGCGUGAGUGAAGAAGGGUUUCGGCUCGUAAAGCUCUGUUGUUGGAGAAGAACGUGCGUGAGAGUAACUGUUCACGCAGUGACGGUAUCCAACCAGAAAGUCACGGCUAACUACGUGCCAGCAGCCGCGGUAAUACGUAGGUGGCAAGCGUUAUCCGGAUUUAUUGGGCGUAAAGCGAGCGCAGGCGGUUGCUUAGGUCUGAUGUGAAAGCCUUCGGCUUAACCGAAGAAGUGCAUCGGAAACCGGGCGACUUGAGUGCAGAAGAGGACAGUGGAACUCCAUGUGUAGCGGUGGAAUGCGUAGAUAUAUGGAAGAACACCAGUGGCGAAGGCGGCUGUCUGGUCUGCAACUGACGCUGAGGCUCGAAAGCAUGGGUAGCGAACAGGAUUAGAUACCCUGGUAGUCCAUGCCGUAAACGAUGAGUGCUAGGUGUUGGAGGGUUUCCGCCCUUCA
rnacentral:rRNA from 1 species